AGGGAGGGAGAGUGGAGAAGGUGGGGAGGGACAGUGGAAAAUGUAUAAACCCUUGGUGUGCUCUUUCUCAAUUUGUCUUUUGGUGAUUCCUUGCCUCCUCAACCAUAUUGGAGAAGGUCCCCACCCCUUCUGACCUUCUUCUCCAUUGGGUUUUCAGAAGAAGACGAGGAGAUAGGAUGCAAGCAAUUGAGACAAUAUGAUUGAGAAAGAGCCUGAGAGAGGAAGUGAAGGGAGGGAGUUUUCUGACUGAAUGAUCAAUGCUUCCAUGUUGUAAUAUCUGUCCUCUCACCCAACCAACGCCAGAUUGACCCAGUCGUACCGUAGCAUUUAUCUUAUUUCACAUUUUGAAGAAUGAAAUCUCUUGAUGUGCACAAUCUCGUUUUUCAAGUGUCCAAAUAUAUAUUUGAACACUCUGCUACAACUACUAAUACAACUAAGUACCGAAAUAAUAUAUACAUAUUUACUAAUAUCUUAUAAUAAUAAUAAUAUAUGCCAUUUAGCAGACGCUUUUAUCCAAAGCGACUUACAGUCAUGUGUGCAUACAUUCUACGUAUGGGUGGUCCCGGGAAUCGAACCCACUACCCUGGCGUUACAAGCGCCAUGCUCUACCAACUGAGCUACAGAAGGACCAUGGUGAUGUUUCUAUUAGCUUACAGUUUGUUCUGAACAUUUGAAAAACGUAUUUCUUAAAUUCACUGUGUGAUUCUGAUUUUUUGAAUGCCCUGAUGUGUAUAGGAAACAUUAUUCCAGUCAGUUGGGCCUUUUGUAAUCUGAAAUAUGAACCCUUGGAAUUUGUCAUUGCUGCUGUGGCUGACAGGAGUAGCGUGAGUCUUGUAAAGUUAGGUGUUCCUUAAUUAAUAUAUCCAGGGACGUUUUGAAGUUGAUACAUAUAUUCAGAAAAUAAAUUGGUACCGUUGUCUUCUUUUGGGGAGCGACAGUCCAUUUAGUGAUUCAGACAAUGUCUUUAUAAUUGCAUCCAAGAAUGGAUUCGCAAAUUAUUGACAGACGUUUGAAGUAGGGUUGUGAAAGUUUAAACGAAAUUGGGAUGUUUAACGUUUAGAAAAAUCCCUAAUGGAAACUUUGUUGUUGUUGUUGUUGUUGUUGUUGUCGAAGUACAGCAACUAAUCAGACUCCUCCAUUCCAAAAAUACUGAAUCUUAGGAGUCGAUUCCUAGCAGAAGAUCUGUUUUCUUUCUUCUAAAUGUCUUGGUAAAGACAUUUACAUACUUAUUGUUUUAGGAGAGAGUGGUCUGCGCGCAGGCAGCUCGAGAUUAUUUUUAUUGACAGUUCUGGUCACCUAGUGAUAGUCAUGGCUGGAAGGGAUCCAGCUUUUGUCAACCUACUGCGGAAGUUCUCCUAACCUGCUACGAAAAUGCGAAAUCUGAAUUUUAUUUGGAAAAAUGUGCAUCCUUUCGAGCCGUAAUGCCAAGAGGUGGACGUUAGUCCCGCUUCAGAAGCACCAUUCGUAUACAUGCCAAGUAAAGGACCCAUUCACUGGCGCUUCGAAACUGUCAACAGAAAAGGUUUUUGUGUCUUGUUGGCAUUUUAAAAAGCCGUAGUGUCCCCUUAGACAAACAAACUUCAUUAUCCAACUGUAGCUGUAGUCCUGUGACCGUGGUAGAUAUAACUACAUUAUUCGACUGUAGCGGUAGGCCUAUAUGACCGUGGUAGAUAUAACUACAUUAUUCGACUGUAGCGGUAGGCCUAUAUGACUGUGGUAGAUAUAACUACAUUAUUUGACUGUAGAGGUAGACAUAUAUGACUGUGGUAGAUAUAACUACAUUAUCCGAAUGUAGCGGUAGGCCUGUAUGACUGUGGUAGAUAUAACUACAUUAUUCGACUAGCGGUAGGCCUAUAUGACUGUGGUAGAUAUAACUACAUUAUCCGACUGUAGCGGUAGGCCUAUAUGACUGUGGUAGAUAUAACUACAUUAUUCGACUGUAGCGGUAGGCCUGUAUGACUGUGGUAGAUAUAACUACAUUAUCCGACUGUAGCGGUAGGCCUGUAUGACUGUGGUAGAUAUAACUACAUUAUCCGACUGUAGCGGUAGGCCUGUAUGACUGUGGUAGAUAUAACUACAUUAUUCAACUGUAGCGGUAGGCCUGUAUGACUGUGGUAGAUAUAACUACAUUAUCCGACUGUAGCGGUAGGCCUAUAUGACUGUGGUAGAUAUAACUACAUUAUUCGACUGUAGCGGUAGGCCUAUAUGACCGUGGUAGAUAUAACUACAUUAUUCGACUGUAGCGGUAGGCCUAUAUGACUGUGGUAGAUAUAACUACAUUAUCCGACUGUAGCGGUAGGCCUAUAUGACUGUGGUAGAUAUAACUACAUUAUUCGACUGUAGCGGUAGGCCUGUAUGACUGUGGUAGAUAUAACUACAUUAUCCGACUGUAGCGGUAGGCCUGUAUGACUGUGGUAGAUAUAACUACAUUAUCCGACUGUAGCGGUAGGCCUAUAUGACUGUGGUAGAUAUAACUACAUUAUCCGACUGUAGCGGUAGGCCUAUAUGACUGUGGUAGAUAUAACUACAUUAUCCGACUGUAGCGGUAGGCCUAUAUGACUGUGGUAGAUAUAACUACAUUAUUCAACUGUAGCGGUAGACAUAUAUGACUGUGGUAGAUAUAACUACAUUAUCCGACUGUAGCGGUAGGCCUAUAUGACUGUGGUAGAUAUAACUACAUUAUUCGACUAGCGGUAGGCCUAUAUGACGGUGGUAGAUAUAACUACAUUAUCCGACUGU